rnacentral:rRNA from 1 species
GAGAGUUGAUCCUGGCUACAGAACGAACGCUGGCGGCGUGCUUAACACAUGCAAGUCGAACGGGGGUAGGAAGCUUGCUUCCUAUCUAGUGGCGCACGGGUGAGUAACGCGUGGAUAAUCUACCCGAUACUCUGGGAUAACAUCUCGAAAGGGGUGCUAAUACCGGAUAAGCCCACGAGGACUGCGGUUCUUGCGGGAAAAGGUGGGGACCUUCGGGCCUGCCGAUAUCGGAUGAGUCCGCGUCCCAUUAGCUAGUUGGCGGGGUAAAGGCCCACCAAGGCGACGAUGGGUAGCUGGUCUGAGAGGAUGAUCAGCCACACUGGAACUGAGACACGGUCCAGACUCCUACGGGAGGCAGCAGUGGGGAAUUUUGCGCAAUGGGCGAAAGCCUGGCGCAGCAACGCCGCGUGAAGUGAUGAAGGCCCUUGGGUCGUAAAGCUCUGUCAGAGGGAACGAAGUGUGGGCGGCUAAUACCCGACCCAUUUGACGGUACCCUCAAAGGAAGCACCGGCUAACUCCGUGCCAGCAGCGGC